ensembl:lncRNA
CUAGAACCCACACCAGCCUGACCUCUGUCCCCACCGCUCAGCAAAAUAGCUCUGGUCACCGCUGUCCUCCAUGGUGCUAACUGACAAGUUCCUGUUUCGUACGAGGAAGGCUCUGAGACAGGCUCAGCACAGUUGUCUUCUCCCUCCUUUCCGGUCAUUGCAGCAGUAUUACCUCUGCUAUACGGACAAACAAGUAAAAAGAGCUGACCACUACUGUCUUCUAUUGUUCCAAGCACGGCCCUGCAAAACUGGGUGUUCCUUCCAGUAAGACAGAGUGCCGAUGAAGAGGCAGAGAUGGGGCAUGGAGUUCAUCAGAGACGCCAUCCCCGAGAGAGCACCUGCAUGAAAUUUCCUCCCAAGAUUAUCUUCCU